rnacentral:rRNA from 1 species
CAGUAGCCGCGGUAAUACGUAGGGUGCGAGCGUUAAUCGGAAUUACUGGGCGUAAAGCGUGCGCAGGCGGUUCGGAAAGAGAGAUGUGAAAUCCCAGGGCUUAACCUGGGAACUGCAUUUGAAACUGGCAGGCUAGAGUCUUGUAGAGGGGUGUAGAAUUCCAGGUGUAGCGGUGAAAUGCGUAGAGAUCUGGAGGAAUACCGGUGGCGAAGGCGGCCCCCUGGACAAAGACUGACGCUCAGGUGCGAAAGCGUGGGGAGCAAACAGGAUUAGAGACCCGUGUAGUCCCUGUCUCUUAUAC